AGCUCCAAUAGCGUAUAUUAAAGUUGUUGCGGUUAAAAAGCUCGUAGUUGGAUUUCUGUCGGUGAGUGAAAGUCCGCUCUCAGUGGUUGGUACUUUUCAUGCCACCGGCAUCUUCCUGGGGACUGUGUCUGAUCUUAGUUGAUUGGCGCAUAAUCCAGGACUUUUACUUUGAAGAAAUGAGAGUGUUUCAAGCAGGCAAUCGCCGUGAAUACGUUAGCAUGGAAUAAUAGCAUCGGACCUCGUUCCAAAGCUGUUGGUUUCUUGGACCGAGGUAAAGGUGAAUAGGGAUUGUUGGGGGCAUUCGUAUUUAACUGUCAGAGGUGAAAUUCUUGGAUUUGUUGAAGACGGACUACUGCGAAAGCAUCUGCCAAAGAUGUUC
rnacentral:rRNA from 1 species